rnacentral:misc_RNA from 1 species
GUUCGAGCGUCAGUACAACACUCAAGCUCAGCUUGGUCUUGAGCCCAGUGGGAAACCGCGGGCUUUAAAAUCAGUGGCGGCGCAUCUGGCUCUAAGCGUAGUAAUACUCCUCGCUCUUGAGUUCCAGGUGGAUGCUGGCCAGCAACCCCCAACUUUCUAAGUUUGACCUCGGAUCAGGUAGGGAUACCCGCUGAACUUAA